rnacentral:rRNA from 1 species
CAGACGGGUGAGUAACGCGUGGUCAACCUACCGUUGAGUGGGGGAUAACUAGCCGAAAGGUUAGCUAAUACCGCAUACGUCUCCGAGGGGCAUCCCUUGGCGAUAAAAGGAGCAAUCCGCUCGAUGACGGGACCGCGUCCCAUUAGCUAGAUGGUGGGGUAACGGCCUACCAUGGCUCCGAUGGGUAGCUGGUUUGAGAGAGCGACCAGCCACACUGGGACUGAGAAACGGCCCAG